UACGAAGGGAGCUAGCGUUGUUCGGAAUCACUGGGCGUAAGGCGCACGUAGGCGGAUGUGUCAGUCAGGGGUGAAAUCCCGGAGCUCAACUUCGGAACUGCCCUUGAUACAGCACGUCUUGAGUCCGGAAGAGGUGGGUGGAAUUCCUAGUGUAGAGGUGAAAUUCGUAGAUAUUAGGAAGAACACCGGUGGCGAAGGCGGCCCACUGGUCCGGUACUGACGCUGAGGUGCGAAAGCGUGGGGAGCAAA
rnacentral:rRNA from 1 species